GACGAACGCUGGCGGCGUGCUUAACACAUGCAAGUCGAACGGAAAGGCCCUGCUUUUGUGGGGUGCUCGAGUGGCGAACGGGUGAGUAACACGUGAGUAACCUGCCCUUGACUUUGGGAUAACUUCAGGAAACUGGGGCUAAUACCGGAUAGGAGCUCCUGCUGCAUGGUGGGGGUUGGAAAGUUUCGGCGGUUGGGGAUGGACUCGCGGCUUAUCAGCUUGUUGGUGGGGUAGUGGCUUACCAAGGCUUUGACGGGUAGCCGGCCUGAGAGGGUGACCGGCCACAUUGGGAAUGAGAUACGGCCGGGACUCCUCCGGGAGGCAGCAGGGGGGAAUAUUGAACAAGGGGCGGAAGCCUGAUGCAGCAACGCCGCGUGCGGGAUGACGGCCUUCGGGUUGUAAACCGCUUUCGCCUGUGACGAAGCGUGAGGGACGGUAAUGGGUAAAGAAGCACCGGCUAACUACGUG
rnacentral:rRNA from 1 species